GAUGAACGCUGGCGGCGUGCCUAAUACAUGCAAGUCGAGCGAACGGACGAGAAGCUUGCUUCUCUGAUGUUAGCGGCGGACGGGUGAGUAACACGUGGAUAACCUACCUAUAAGACUGGGAUAACUUCGGGAAACCGGAGCUAAUACCGGAUAAUAUUUUGAACCGCAUGGUUCAAAAGUGAAAGACGGUCUUGCUGUCACUUAUAGAUGGAUCCGCGCUGCAUUAGCUAGUUGGUAAGGUAACGGCUUACCAAGGCAACGAUGCAUAGCCGACCUGAGAGGGGGAUCGGCCAAACUGGAACUGAGACACGGUCCAGAAGCCUACGGGAGGCAGCAGUAGGGAAUCUUCCGCAAUGGGCGAAAGCCUGACGGAGCAACGCCGCGUGAGUGAUGAAGGUCUUCGGAUCGUAAAACUCUGUUAUUAGGGAAGAACAGAUGUGUAAGUAACUGUGCACAUCUUGACGGUACCUAAUCAGAAAGCCACGGCUAACUACGU
rnacentral:rRNA from 1 species